GAAGUUGGUAUGCAGAGCGGCUUUUCUGCUCUUCCCCGGAUCGAAGCAGCAGCUGGCAGACAAAGAGGAUGGCAAUAAGAGCACUCUGGACAACUGAGGAGAACAAGCAAUACUGAAUAGCAAAGCAAGUCAAUCCAGAAAUCAAACUAUUUUCCAUAUCCUUCAGAGAGCAACACAAUUCUUCACCUUCCUCAUCAGGAUUAUCCUCAUUUUGCUGGGAUUAGAAGACUCCAAAGAAUUCCAAGAUUCUUUAUUUCACCAACACCAUUCAAAAAGACAGGUUAUAAUCUUUUUCAGUAUGUCACAAUCAUGUGAUACCUUUCCAGGACACAACCAAGUGUGUGGAGAAACCAAGAGGCUCCUGGCCAGUCUUA
rnacentral:lncRNA from 1 species